AUGAACAAAAGGCCCAGCAUUUGA
rnacentral:piRNA from 1 species